GGACCAUUGGUUCGUGCACUGAGAUUGACAAUUCAAGCAGCAUUGAAUGAGCUACGAACGUCAGUAAUUGAAGAAUACAACGUCGUUGUGGCGUACGGUCGCACACAGGGCCCGCAGAAGUAACGGUUGCGCAACGGAGAGAAACUGUGGUUUGGAGACGAUGGCUUUAACCGUGAUGAUCUGGACCCACGGAACAGGUUGCUGGCGGCUUCCUAGACCAUGGUCUAGAUUUUCGGAUUUGGUGUAACCAGCGACGCGUGGAUUCCGGAUCUGACCGGAGAAAUUUUAUUUGGCCUGAGAAGAUGGUUGAGGAGAGGCUGCCACAUAGCUCUGGAGGAACAUCGACUCUUCAAGAAGCUUUGGAGUCCGGCGAUUCGAGCAGCGAGCCAGCAGGCGACAGGGAGACGAGAUCAGACCACAAGUUCGUCGGCGACCGCAGGCAAAAGAUAGACUUCUCCUUGGAUGUUGGAUCUAGUGAGCAGCCGGUUGUGUCUCCUAUAGUUUCAGUGUGGCUAUCUACGAGGGGACAACGGAGAUUGUCGCCAGUGGCACAGUCGCGAGGAAAGAAGGCGAGUGCAGCCAUGGUUGGCCGGUCAGCCGAAGCAAUCGGUGCUUGGCAAGUUGGCAUCUUACAAACUUUGGCCGGAGGGGAGUGGGCAUGAAGCUGACGGGUAAAAGCUGACUCUGCAACAGCCAACUCGAAAAGCAAAUCCAUAAUCUCCGGGGUGGACAAAAGGUUACAAGGCCCGUGCUGGCCGGGCACCACUGACAUGACACGUGUGCAUCGGUGCAUCUAGGAAGAGUGCCCUUGAAAAAUUGACCCAUGGUUAUGCAGAAAAGCUUGAGGAUGAGGUCAUCGAUCCUUGCCUGGUGCCUGAAUGCUUGGUCCAUGUCGGUAGGGUACCAUUGGACAGGACACUUGUACUCAUGCGAGCAUGGUUUCGGAAUUAGGUAUGGAAAGAGCCAUCUAAAUGAAGUGAAGACCAAAUGCAUGCAGGAAAUUUUGUGCGGAUUGUUGGUAACUGUCUGUUGAGUGACGUGAACCUUUGGUCCAUCUAUGGCCUAGGUGCAUUCUAGUGACAUUAAAAGUUGUUUCUGCUUCUCUCUUUUGUUCAGGGCAAACCAUCGGUGGAGAACACUAAGUCGUGUCAACACGAGUGCCCAGCUAUGAUCAGGUUGCUUCAGACGACGGACAAUGGAUGGUACAUAACUAAGUAUAGGGUCAAAAGUAACACAUGUUGACUGAAAACUGUGGAGAAAAGUUUUUUGGGGAUGCUAUAACUUUCCACACGACAUACAAGACCAACUUGUUUGACAUGUUAUCUGGUUUGUUUGUGGUUGAUAAUAGCCACUUUGAGAGCAUAAUUUUAGCAAGUGUCAUAGUCCAGGACAAGCAGGUGGAGAGCUUUUUUGCGAGUGGAGAGCUUUGAGUGGGUUUUCACAUAGUUUAUCAGAAUGACGGGUGGAGUUGCACUUCGACAAUACUUGCAGGAAUUCAGGAUCAAUGCUGAGCCAUGGAAGUUGCAAUUGGGAAUGUUCUGCCGAGCACGACACAUCCGACUACGAACAUCGGAUGAAGUUCUGAAAGGAAAAGGGCCGUAUGUGGUCAGUACUAAGCCCUGGGGAGUUUCAAUCAGAAACCUAGCAUGCCAUGGCCUAGGCCAGAGAAAAUUUGGGCUGCAUUAUCUGUUAAUGGAUCGUUUGAUGAAGAAGGAAAAGGUGGAGUAGGUAUGAUCCUAAGAAAUUCUAGUGCUGAGGUCAUUUUUCUUCAUGCCAAUGUCUAUCUCAUUGCAAUGAAGCGCUGGAGACUGAACUAUGCGCUACGCUGGAAGGCAUCUCCCUUGCUAUGGAGUGGUGUUCAUCCAAACGGUUUGUGCCUCAAUCUUAGGUCAAGCUAUGGCCAUCUAUUUGACGAGGUGAAGCGUCUUUUAGUCUUUGGGAAUUUAUCCUUGUGAAGUUAGAUCAUAGAUAAAAUAGGGUUGCACAUUGUCUAAUUUUGAUACGUCGGAAGGCAGUACAGUUUGUUGCUUUCUCCAAAUUCCUGAAUGUGCUUCACAACUUGUAAUGGAUGAUUGCAACCCUGUUAUAUAGAAUAAAAUCUCAGUGGCUUCCGCAAAAAAAUUGAAACCUACUCAGUGUUCUU